rnacentral:rRNA from 1 species
GAUGAACGCUGGCGGCGUGCCUAAUACAUGCAAGUCGAGCGAGAAGCUUGGAAAUGACGCUUCGGUUGAUUUUCCAAGCGGACAGCGGCGGACGGGUGAGUAACGCGUAGGCAACCUGCCCCUGACAGAGGGAUAGCCAUUGGAAACGAUGAUUAAAACCUCAUGACACCGUAGUAGCACAUGCUACAUCGGUCAAAGAUUUAUCGGUCAGGGAUGGGCCUGCGUCUGAUUAACUGGUUGGUGAGGUAACGGCUCACCAAGGUGACGAUCAGUAGCCGACCUGAGAGGGUGAUCGGCCACAUUGGAACUGAGACACGGUCCAAACUUCUACGGAAGGCAGCAGUAGGGAAUCUUGCACAAUGGGCGAAAGCCUGAUGCAGCAACGCCGCGUGAAGGAUGAAGGGCCUUUCGGGUUGUAAAACUUUCUGUUCUAAAGGGAA